GUCUACAGCCAUGCCACCCUGAACAAGCCCGAUCCCGUCUGAUCUCGGAAGCUAAGCAGGGUUGGGUCUGGUUAGUACUUGGAUGGGAGACCACGUAGGAAGACCAGGUGCUGUAGGCU
rnacentral:rRNA from 1 species